CUGGAUUCAGCGGCGGACGGGUGAGUAAUGCCUAGGAAUCUGCCUGGUAGUGGGGGAUAACGUCCGGAAACGGGCGCUAAUACCGCAUACGUCCUGAGGGAGAAAGUGGGGGAUCUUCGGACCUCACGCUAUCAGAUGAGCCUAGGUCGGAUUAGCUAGUUGGUGGGGUAAAGGCCUACCAAGGCGACGAUCCGUAACUGGUCUGAGAGGAUGAUCAGUCACACUGGAACUGAGACACGGUCCAGACUCCUACGGGAGGCAGCAGUGGGGAAUAUUGGACAAUGGGCGAAAGCCUGAUCCAGCCAUGCCGCGUGUGUGAAGAAGGUCUUCGGAUUGUAAAGCACUUUAAGUUGGGAGGAAGGGCAGUAAGUUAAUACCUUGCUGUUUUGACGUUACCAACAGAAUAAGCACCGGCUAACUUCGUGCCAGCAGCCGCGGUAAUACGAAGGGUGCAAGCGUUAAUCGGAAUUACUGGGCGUAAAGCGCGCGUAGGUGGUUCAGCAAGUUGGAUGUGAAAUCCCCGGGCUCAACCUGGGAACUGCAUCCAAAA
rnacentral:rRNA from 1 species